AUGGAGAAGCUAAUGAACCCAAUGCUAAAUCAUUCAGAUCCUGCAAAUAAACUAACCUUACAGGAAAGUAAUGUUGGCUUCAGUUUAUUGAAUGCUUCCUUGGUAAAAAUGCCUGUAUUCAAGGAAAAACAGUGGAUUUUAAUCACUGCUAACUUCAGAGCCAAAUUUUUGGAUAUCAUGAACCCGUACUACAGUGCUGAUACAUUUCUACCAACAAUUAGUGCGGUUAUCUACAACUUCAAGGUCUUGUUUGCUGCUACAUAUGGAAAUUCUACUUCUUUCAACAUAGGUAAUUUCGAAUCAAGAUUUGUACCAGCUCCCAAGGUCAAUUUCAGGUAUGACUCAGGAAUUUUCAUUCUGCAGUAUGUUAGCAAGUACAAAGGUCUUGAAUUGCAGGGUUUCUCUAAUGAUGAUUUACAAGCUCUACGUCAAAAAUUCCUGUUUGAGAUUGUAACAUGCAAGGACAAUCAAAUUCAACUGCCGUUAGUAACUUCUUUCCUGCAGCGACAUGGUCUCAUUAAUACUGCCACCUUCAAGGGAAGUGCACUGCAAGAUCCAACUCCAAGGAAUACUUCCAUGGCAAAAAAGUUUCCUUACCGAUAG
rnacentral:rRNA from 1 species